GUUUGUGUGUGCGAGCUUGUGCUAAUCUUAGCAACGGGGUCGGCCUUAAUGCCCGUAAAAAGAUAGAUCGCGCUUUGCUCCCGAUGACGGCCGGAUUAAAGCUCGGAGGAAGAUGACGAUCGUGCCCGAGCGGGGGCUAGCAGACGACGCGAGGCCACAUGCAGACGACACAGCGCAGCUUGCCCCAACAGCAGGAUAAACGACUCUGCUCUUAUUCCGAUGUCGCCUCAAACACGGGCCCGUCCACGGUUCCGAGCGAGCAGUACACCACGUCCAUGCUGUUGCUAUUGGCAUCCAUGCACCGCUCACCCAGGCCCAGCUGGCCCUCCGCAUUGAGCCGGAACACCUGCGAGCGUCGCCGCAAGACACGCUAGCGUGGUGGGACGACGAGACAUGGGCCACGCAAUCAGUUCGAGAGAGCGAAAACGCUCGGCUCGGGAAACCUUCACCGCCUUGGGAGGGUGGCGCAUGCAGCUCAAAGGGAACGGCUGGGCGAGCAGCGAUUGACCGUAAUUCGAUCCUGACUGAAGGUCCCGGCUGGUGCCCAUACAUUUCUUUGGCACCAAAUUUUCGUUAUUUUGAUCCUGAAAUUAGCCUUUGCUAGAUAAUUUG